rnacentral:rRNA from 1 species
UACGAAGGGGGCUAGCGUUGCUCGGAAUCACUGGGCGUAAAGCGCACGUAGGCGGCUUUCUAAGUCAGGGGUGAAAUCCCGGAGCUCAACUCCAGAACUGCCUUUGAUACUGGAGAGCUCGAGUCCGGAAGAGGUGAGUGGAACUCCGAGUGUAGAGGUGAAAUUCGUAGAUAUUCGGAAGAACACCAGUGGCGAAGGCGGCUCACUGGUCCGGUACUGACGCUGAUGUGCGAAAGCGUGGGGAGCAAACAGG